UACGGGGGGAGCAAGCGUUGUUCGGAUUUACUGGGCGUAAAGGGCGCGUAGGCGGCCAGCACAAGUCAGUUGUGAAAUCUCCGAGCUUAACUCGGAAAGGUCAACUGAUACUGUGCGGCUAGAGUGCGGAAGGGGCAACUGGAAUUCUUGGUGUAGCGGUGAAAUGCGCAGAUAUCAGGAGGAACACCGAUGGCGAAGGCAGGUCUCUGGGCAUUAACUGACGCUGAGGAGCGAAAGCAUGGGGAGCGAACAGG
rnacentral:rRNA from 1 species